UACGUAGGGUGCAAGCGUUGUCCGGAAUUUAUUGGGCGUAAAGAGCUCGUAGGCGGUUUGUCGCGUCUGCUGUGAAAACGCGGGGCUCAACUCCGCGCCUGCAGUGGGUACGGGCAGACUAGAGUGCAGUAGGGGAGACUGGAAUUCCUGGUGUAGCGGUGGAAUGCGCAGAUAUCAGGAGGAACACCGGUGGCGAAGGCGGGUCUCUGGGGCUGUGAAACUG
rnacentral:rRNA from 1 species